rnacentral:rRNA from 1 species
UACGAAGGGGGCUAGCGUUGUUCGGAUUUACUGGGCGUAAAGGGCGCGUAGGCGGCCACCGCAAGUCGACUGUGAAAUCUCCGGGCUUAACCCGGAAAGGUCAGCCGAUACUGCGGGCUAGAGUGCAGAAGGGGCAACUGGAAUUCUCGGUGUAGCGGUGAAAUGCGCAGAUAUCAGGAGGAACACCGAUGGCGAAGGCAGGUCUCUGGGCAUUAACUGACGCUGAGGAGCGAAAGCAUGGGGAGCGAACAGG